AAGCAGCUUGAUUUUGCAACGGGCCCUUUUGUUUCAAAGCUACGGGUUUUGCUAGCCGAUUCGCAUCAGGAGCUGCUUCAGUUGGAAGAAUGUGUCAAGCUAUUAGAGGAUGUGUACCCUCAAAGGGAAGCAGCAGGGACUUCUUGGGCUUUUUGAUGGUGCCUGGUACCUAGCAAGAUCUGUGUUGGGAAUCUCAGGGUGAAUGUGGAGAAGAAGGUGACAGGAUGACAGGUGGGCGAUCAGAGCUGAUCUCUACAACAUGAAGUGUUCGUGUUGCAGGAGCUCUAUUCGAUCAAAAAUAUGACCAGAGUGUUGGAUAUGGUUUUGUAAAGUAUAGAGAAAGACAUGCUUCUAAGAUUCCUGCACUAUUCUUCUGCAAAAGCU